AUCGGAGGCCUCAGUGCACCCCUCCCCCAAGCCACAGAGCUUCUGGAGGCAGCACUAGGGAGAGGGGGAAAAAGCCCUGGAUCCAUAGGCUGGACUACACGUGCAGAGAGAGGCGUUCUUUGUUUGAGGAGACACAGACCCACUGAAGGAUUGCAUGAGCCCAAAGUAAUUUCAGAGACCUAAUGACUUGAGAGGGUCACCUAAGCAAAGAAAAGUUGCCAAAGAUCGGAGAAAGACGGAAGCAUGUGAUUCCUGAAUGAAGAAGUUCUUCACGCCCCUAUUCCAGACCUCCUGCCUGCCUGGGCUCCCAUGCAACCCUCGUGCUCAAAGAUGACUCCAUACAUGCCUUCGGCGAAGAGUGGCAUAGACCCAUUUCCACAAGUCAUGGCAUAGACCCAUUUCCCCCACACUGGCAACUGGCACCAGGGAACCUCAUCGUCUUAGCACCUUUUGCCUGGAUUUCUGCAAGGUCUAGGUCUCGUAUGGAUGCCAUGAGACAAGACCAUUGUACUCCUAGCGCUUAAGGUAGAGACAGACAUGCAGCGGGUGCUCACGGCUUCUCAACUGCCUCCCUAUUGCCAAUGGCCAACCAGCGACGGCCCGACGGCAACGAUUUUACCACCGUUGGCCGAGUAUGAAUUGUGAGCCAGCAUG